UUAUAUAUCGUAAGUCGUUGAAUCUUUCACUCAACCGAUUCGUUAAGAAUACCGAAUAGUUUAUGGAACUAAUAAAUUAUUUAUAAUCAAAUCUACCAAGAGUAGGAAUUGGGUCGUUAGGGUUGCCAACUUUAGCAAAGGAAAAUAAGGGACAGUGUAAGGGACUCAAAAUAGUUUAUAGUUAAUAUUUCUUACUCAACAGUUAAAAAAAAACAACAACUGCAUGCAGUACCGCAAGAUAAUGGUUAUUAUAACCACCCAGAGCCUUAUUUAUCUUAUUUAACGGCUCUGUAACCACCUAUAUCGGAUUGCUCAUGACGUCAUAAAAAGUGAAGCCACCGCACUGCCAUAUUGGUAAUCAAUUUUCAAAAUGACUAUUUUUCAAUGAUUCAAGGAUUUUUAUUGCCAUUCCAUACACGAGUACGUGAAGGAAUGAAAUUAACUAAAUACUGAGGUCCCGGUCAAAACAACAAGAUAAAAACAUUAACCAAUAAAAAUAUUUUACCAAUAUAUGUUCCCCAAAAUAUAUUAACCAAUAAGGCGUGUAACAUCUACCAUGGGUGAAUAUUAUUAUUAUUAUACUAUUAUACCUAUGGGGCAUGUUGUCACAUUUUACUUCCGGGGUAAAUAAAGAAAAAAGUAUGCACUGUAUUAAUGAAACAAAGCCAUAUAUUUGUACCAGACAUGUGUGAAAUUAAUGUGGAACAAAAGAAAUUCUCUGAACCCUAAGCAGAUUUACACAAACGGAGCAAGUCAAGCAUUAGGUUGUGCCAUGCUCUCCCCUACUAUAGAAAUAAAGUAAUCAAAUGUAAAAUAACACUGGAUAGUCUUCAUUGUAAAAAUUAAAUACAGAUGAAUCAAUUAAAGUUACAAAAGUUAAUCAGUCAAAGAGCAGCAAGUGAUUUUCUCUUUGUCUUAUGUUGUUUGUUGCACGUUUAUUAAGCUGCUUACACUUUAAGACCUGAUGCACAUCCAGUAUACACAUGCGUUUUCUUUCAGAACCGUUUGCGUUCACUUAGGACCAUUGUGCUUGUGUGAAUACUCGGCAAGACGGACAUUGAGACAUUAUUUCUUUGUGUAUUUGACCAUUUAAGUGCAUUUAGCCCUCGCAAACUGUAUGAGAGGUGGCUUUAUUUGUAUGCUUUGGAUGUGAGCGUGGGAAUGAAAAUUAUGCGCAACCCCUGCAAUCCUGCGCUGAAAUUCAGACCAACCUAUCUUAUGAUUUGCAUUUUUACUAUCCAUUUGUGUGUGUUCUUUGAUAUUAUUAGAGACAUCAUAGAUUGGUGGUAUAAUGCUUUAUACACAUUUUAGCAAUUUAAAAAUAUUUGGCACCAAUAGAUGGCACCCCGGUUGGGAAUUGCUGGUUUAAGAAAUAAGUGCCAAAGGUUUAGGUCUGCUUUACAUGGCCCAUUUAGAAUGACUAGAUCAUUUAAGACAGGGACGGAGGAUACUACAGAGAGGAGGUGGGAUAUGAUGGGGUGGCUUUGGGGCACGAUUCUCAUUGCAAAGUUUAGAUGUCCAAGGAAAAAGAAGAGGUCGCAUUUGGAAAUUUGUUGAGUGGAGGUAAUAUUUUGGAUCACGUGUCACAGUUAUGUUCAGUUAGUUUGUUUUCAUGGACUUUCAGUUUGUUUUCAUUCAUGAAGUGUUCCCUUUGUUCUAGUUUCCCACCACUCAUCAGUCACCAUGGACACAUCACUAAUCAUCACUGUUCAUCACAAUCACAAUUAUCUGUUUGUCUUUUAGUUAAUCAUCACUCUGUAUUUAAGUUCCUGCCUGUGUUAUGUUCAUUGUUCCGUAUUGUUCGUGUUUGACACACUGUCUCGCAUAUUGGCUCUCUUGUUAGUAGUUAUUUAAUAAACCGUGGAUUAUUAUGGGGUGAGCAAUGGUGUAAACAGAAGUAGAAGAAGGUGCUGGAAGGUGUGAGUUUGUUGGACUAAGUUUGUUGGUGGAAGUAUGGCUUAACACUGCGGCCAUGCGACCUGUGCUAGAGACAGGGAGGGAGAGGCUGGAAGCUUCGGUGGCAGGCGACACACGCACGUCGGGCAUGGGGGAAAACACAAAUGGAGCUCGAAGCAGAUGCAGCCUCCUGAUUGGAGGGAGUGCACCAGACUCUCUUGGAUGGGCGACUGAUGGCCUUUUUGGGCAGAGCAUCGGGUGGAGUCUGGCCGGUUUGUGAACUAAGGGAUGGGAGAUGAUCUAAAAGCAAUCGGAUAUGAUGGUGUGUGAGGAGAAUUCGAGGUGGCCUAGGUGCGUGGGUGCCUAGCCGGAGGUGGGGAGGAGGGAAUUCCAUGGCGGUGCCUUGGUGAAUUCAAUGGAGGAUGACGAGAAGGAAGACCUCAACCCCCGUUGUUUUGUCCAGAAUUAGAGUAGGAGUUGGAUGAUCCUGGGAAGCCAGUGAUGUGACAGUAGGCCUCUAGGCUGGAGAACAUGAUGUAGAGAAACCACAAACCGAGGAACAACAUUGAAGUCAGAACCUUUAGCGUUUUGGGCCCACCCAGCUCUCCGCCCACCGAUGGCCGCCGUCGUAGCAUCAGA